UUAUGCUAAUAAGAGCGUAUGGUGGAUGCCUUGGCACUAAGAGCCGAUGAAAGACGUGAUAAGCUGCGAAAAGCUUCGGGGAGGAGCAAAUAUCCAUUGAUCCGGAGAUAUCUGAAUGGGGAAACCUACUUGAGAAAACCUCAAGUAUCCACAGCCCAAUCCAUAAGCUGUGGAAGGGAACCCGGUGAACUGAAACAUCUAAGUAGCCGGAGGAAGAGAAAACAACAUGUGAUUCCGUAAGUAGCGGCGAGCGAACGCGGAAGAGCCCAAACCGGAGUGCGUGCACUCCGGGGUUCGGACUGCAGGAUUGACGAGUGAGCCUAGUAGAAUGGUUUUGGGAAAGCCAGCCAGAGAGGGUGAAAGCCCCGUACACGAAAGGCAAGCGAGCAUGGCAGGAUCCAGAGUACCACGAGACACGUGAAACCUUGUGGGAAUGAGCGGGGACCACCCCGUAAGGCUAAAUACUCCUUAGUGACCGAUAGCGCAUAGUACUGUGAAGGAAAGGUGAAAAGGACCCCGGGAGGGGAGUGAAAGAGAACCUGAAACCCUGUGUUUACAAGCUGUGGGAGCACGUUAAGGUGCAACCGCGUACUUUUUGUAGAACGGUCCGGCGAGUUGCCGGUGCUGGCAAGGUUAAAUGGUACAGCCAUGGAGCCGAAGGGAAACCAAGUCUCAAAUGGGCGUAAAGUCAGCACAGGCAGACCCGAAACCGGGUGACCUAUCCAUGUCCAGGAUGAAGCGGAAGUAAAAUUCCGUGGAGGUCCGGAUCCACAUCCGUUGAAAAGGGUGGGAAUGAGGUGUGGAUAGGGGAGAAAUUCCAAUCGAACCCGGAGAUAGCUGGUUCUCCUCGAAAUAGCUUUAGGGCUAGCCUCGUAUUAGUUUAGCGGAGGUAGAGCACUGAAUUUCCUAGGGGGCGUCAAAGUCUACCGAAGAAUAUCAAACUCCGAAUGCCGCAUAAAUGAUGUACGGGAGUCAGACUGCACGAGAUAAGUUGGGUAGUCAAAAGGGAAAGAGCCCAGACCUACAGCUAAGGUCCCAAAGUGUGUGUUAAGUGGAAAAGGAUGUGGGAUUUCGAAGACAACUAGGAUGUUGGCUCAGAAGCAGCCAUUCAUUCAAAGAGUGCGUAAUAGCUCACUAGUCGAGAGGUCCUGCGCCGAAAAUGUCCGGGGCUAAACACUACACCGAAGCUGAGGAAUGACAAUGUCAUUGGUAGAGGAGCAUUCUUAACUGCGACGAAGCUGUACCGAAAGGAGCAGUGGAGUGUUAAGAAGAGAGAAUGCCGGAAUGAGUAGCGAGAGUGAGGUGAGAAUCCUCACGGCCGAAUAUCUAAGGUUUCCAGGGUAAAGCUGAUCUGCCCUGGGUAAGUCGGGACCUAAGGCGAGGUCGAAAGACGUAGUCGAUGGACAACAGGUUGAAAUUCCUGUACUGCAAUGUAUCAGAAAUGUGGGGACACAGACAGAGAGCCGGAGCCGGGAAUGGAGAAACCGGUGCAAGCGAGGUAGGAGAACAGCAGGCAAAUCCGCUGUUCAAUUUGAAGACGUGACGCGGAGCGAAAUUAAAGUAGCGAAGCCGGUGAGCUGGCUGUCAGGAAAAGCCGCUAUUGUGUACAUUGUACCCGUACCGUAAACCGACACAGGUGGAUGAGGAGAGAAUCCUAAGGCCGACGGAAGAAGCAUUGUUAAGGAACUCGGCAAAAUGGCCCCGUAACUUCGGGAUAAGGGGUGCCUACGAAGGUAGGCCGCAGAGAAUUGGCCCAAGCAACUGUUUAGCAAAAACACAGGUCUAUGCGAAACCGUAAGGUGAUGUAUAUGGGCUGACGCCUGCCCGGUGCUGGAAGGUUAAGAGGAGAGGUUAGAGCAAUCGAAGCUUUGAAUUGAAGCCCCAGUAAACGGCGGCCGUAACUAUAACGGUCCUAAGGUAGCGAAAUUCCUUGUCGGGUAAGUUC
rnacentral:rRNA from 1 species